CCAAACAUGGGCCCGCCCAUCCUAUUCCGGUUGCCACCCCUAUGUCGACCGCGACUGCCUCCGAAGAAAUCAUCAAAGGGGUCAUCAGCUGUGCAGGGAGACACAAUGUGAUUCAGCAGUUUUUAAUGACACAUCCACCCACCACUCAUUCUGCUGGCAGCUCUCAGGUGGAGAGUGACAGAUCCACAGGACCAGCUGCUACUCAGCGAGACAAGCUGUUUGGCACUGAGGACUGGACACUGGGGCUAUAGCACUUUAAGUGAUGGGCAUGCUUCAGUCCCUCUCUAUCCCUGCAUCCCAUCACUGUCUUUAAGGGGCACAGAGAGGAAUGAGAUGGACU